rnacentral:rRNA from 1 species
ACUCCUACGGGAGGCAGCAGUAGGGAAUCUUCCGCAAUGGACGAAAGUCUGACGGAGCAACGCCGCGUGAGUGAUGAAGGCUUUCGGGUCGUAAAACUCUGUUGUUAGGGAAGAACAAGUGCUAGUUGAAUAAGCUGGCACCUUGACGGUACCUAACCAGAAAGCCACGGCUAACUACGUGCCAGCAGCCGCGGUAAUACGUAGGUGGCAAGCGUUAUCCGGAAUUAUUGGGCGUAAAGCGCGCGCAGGUGGUUUCUUAAGUCUGAUGUGAAAGCCCACGGCUCAACCGUGGAGGGUCAUUGGAAACUGGGAGACUUGAGUGCAGAAGAGGAAAGUGGAAUUCCAUGUGUAGCGGUGAAAUGCGUAGAGAUAUGGAGGAACACCAGUGGCGAAGGCGACUUUCUGGUCUGUAACUGACACUGAGGCGCGAAAGCGUGGGGAGCAAACAGGAUUAGAUACCCUGGUAGUCCACGCCGUAAACGAUGAGUGCUAAGUGUUAGAGGGUUUCCGCCCUUUAGUGCUGAAGUUAACGCAUUAAGCACUCCGCCUGGGGAGUACGGCCGCAAGGCUGAAACUCAAAGGAAUUGACGGGGGCCCGCACAAGCGGUGGAGCAUGUGG